CCCCGAUCUCUGCAGCCCAGCGCUGGAGGGAUGGGCGUGUCUCUCAAAGCUCAGAAGGGUGUGGGGGGCCGGGUUGGGGCGGGGGUCCGGUGGGUUUACAAGGCGUGACUCAGGUCAGCAAGCCUCUGGAAAGAGGAUCAAUCUCGGGACCCAGCUGUGGGGAGACGUCAGCUCCAUGCCUUGGCAGUGGAGCAGGGCUGGGUGUCCACCUGGUGGGCGCCCUUCCCAAUGGGGCUUGCCCCUAAACCAAGGAGUUGGGCAGGGCCGAGCCUUGAGAGAUUGGCCAGCGCAGCAGUUCUGGCCUGGGGUAGCCCUGCAGGAGCUCCUUGGCACCUUGUUUCUGGCCCUGAGAGGGCAAGGGUGGUAUUUGGGAGCAGUAGCAAAUGUACCGAGAGGCGUGAUGGCUGCGUCCUUGAGGAGCCCGCCGUUAGCAGGGACGUCAUUCAUUCACCCAUUCAGCAGAUGGUUCUGGACGGUCUCCUAUGCUCUGUUCUGGGCGCUGGCGAUCCAUCAAAGAAGAAAACGGAGUCUCUGCCUUCUAGACAAGUCAGUGGACACCGUGACCCCAGAGGGAAGUGCUGUGAGAGAGGGAUGUGCACAGAGGAGUGUCCCCCUGACCGUCAGGAGGCGUCAGAAGAGGCUUCUCAGAGGGCAAGUCCAGCGGGGCCUGAGCUCAGGAGGUUACCAGUCAGAGCGCGGGGAGGAGCAUUCCGGGGCAUGGGCCCGGCCGUGGCACUGUGAGGACAUCGUCCAGUGGAUUUGAGCUGAGGGACUGCGGGGGCAGGGGAAGGGAGAGGAGGCAGGAAAGACAGGCUGGGCCCCGCCCACUUGUGAAAAGCUUGGACUUCAUCCUGGAGACAAAGGAGUCAAGUCGCAGAGUCGUCAGAAGAGAGGGACUUUCCGCCCUGAGGCCCGGUUCAGACUGCCCAGGGAGGGUCCCUCCCUCCCACUCUGUCCCUGCCUCUGCCCUGAGGCGGGGGGCUCUGGCUCCACAUCCCAGGCGUUGGUGCAGAUGCUGCCACUCCAUCCACCCUCUGGAAGAGGAGGCAGGGCCUGGCCCGGCUGCAGCCACGUUGGCAGGGUCACUGCCCCAGUCCCUGGCCUGUCGCUCUGGCUCACCCCCACCCGCUCACUGCCCGUCCUCUAGCCUCCUCCUCUUCUGCUUCCCGGUUCCCUGGGUGAACUCUUCCGGGUCAGGCUUCUCUCCGCAGGCCUCUGCUGCUCCCCAGGGAGGAAGACCAGGUGGUUGCCGGCCUCGCCUCCCUUCCCAGUUGUCGGGAGGAGCCAUGGAGAACACCAUGAAGACGAAGGGCGAACUGGACCUCACGUGCCCCGGACGCCUCUCGGCUGGACUCCUGGAUGGAGAAGCAGGCAAGCAGAGGCUCAGAGAGGUUAAGGGGCUUGCCCAAGGUCACACAGCCCAGGGAAAGGGCAGAGUGGAGCUGCACCCAGUUCCAUCCAUUUCAGUCUCCUCUCCUGCCAUUCUGCCUUUCUCAUCUUCAGCCUGACCCGAUCUGCAGACAAACAGUGAGUGAGAACAAAAGAAAACAAGUUAAAAACCAGAGGCUUUUGCAGAAAACUGUUGGAGGCUGGAGUGAGUGUAAAAAUAACCAGCCUACCUUGGGUUUUACUUAUUUUUAUCCUUGGAAUGGAGUGAAGUUGCCAAAAGGAUAUUGUUCCACCUGCAAGGGCCCUCCUGGAGGAUGAAUUUUCAAAUAUUCAUUUCUACAACUUGCUCGCAGCAAUAACGCAGAAGACAAGAGCGCCUGGGGAGGAGAGGGGGACAGCGACAUGGGUCCCGGGGGGAGCCUGGGGCCUUGGGGAACUGAGAAGUGGGCUUUGCAAUGGAGAGACAUUCCAGGACUUGACUCUCAGGAGUUAGACAAGAGGAAUAAGGGGAAUGCUCAGUACGCUUUCAAAAUUCUCUUUAUAAUGCUGAAAAAAUC
ensembl:lncRNA